GAUGAACGCUGGCGGCGUGCCUAAUACAUGCAAGUCGAGCGAACAGACGAGGAGCUUGCUCCUCUGACGUUAGCGGCGGACGGGGGAGUAACACGUGGAUAACCUACCUAUAAGACUGGGAUAACUUCGGGAAACCGGAGCUAAUACCGGAUAAUAUAUUGAACCGCAUGGUUCAAUAGUGAAAGACGGUUUUGCUGUUACUUAUAGAUGGAUCCGCGCCGCAUUAGCUAGUUGGUAAGGUAACGGCUUACCAAGGCGACGAUGCGUAGCCGACCUGAGAGGGUGAUCGGCCACACUGGAACUGAGACACGGUCCAGACUCCUACGGGAGGCAGCAGUAGGGAAUCUUCCGCAAUGGGCGAAAGCCUGACGGAGCAACGCCGCGUGAGUGAUGAAGGUCUUCGGAUCGUAAAACUCUGUUAUUAGGGAAGAACAAAUGUGUAAGUAACUAUGCACGUCUUGACGGUACCUAAUCAGAAAGCCACGGCUAACUACGUG
rnacentral:rRNA from 1 species